GACGAACGCUGGCGGCGUGCUUAACACAUGCAAGUCGAACGGAAAGGCCCAGCUUGCUGGGUGCUCGAGUGGCGAACGGGUGAGUAACACGUGGGUGAUCUGCCUCUAACUUCGGGAUAAGCUUGGGAAACUGGGUCUAAUACCGGAUCGGACAAUCGUUUAGUGUAGGUUGUGGAAAGUUUUUUCGGUUAGGGAUGAGCCCGCGGCCUAUCAGCUUGUUGGUGGGGUAAUGGCCUACCAAGGCGUCGACGGGUAGCCGGCCUGAGAGGGUGGACGGCCACAUUGGGACUGAGAUACGGCCCAGACUCCUACGGGAGGCAGCAGUGGGGAAUAUUGCACAAUGGGCGCAAGCCUGAUGCAGUGACGCCGCGUGGGGGAUGACGGCCUUCGGGUUGUAAACCUCUUUCGACAGGGACGAGGCUUUGGUGACGGUACCUGUAUAAGAAGCACCGGCUAACUACGUGCCAGCAGCCGCAGUAA
rnacentral:rRNA from 1 species